AGGAAUUCGCUGGCGGCGUGCUUACACAUGCAAGUCGAACGAGAACGGGUUAUAGUUUACUAUAACUGUCAGCUAAGUGGCGCACGGGUGAGUAAUAUAUAGGUAAUGUGCCCUAGAGAGGGGGAUAACAUUUGGAAACGAAUGCUAACACCCCAUAUGCCUUUAAGACAAAAGUCUGCAAGGGAAAUAUUUAUAGCUCUAGGAUCGGCCUGUACGGUAUCAGUUAGUUGGUGAGGUAAUGGCUCACCAAGACAAUGACGCCUAACUGGUUUGAGAGGAUGAUCAGUCACACUGGAACUGAGACACGGUCCAGACUCCCACGGGAGGCAGCAGUGGGGAAUAUUGCACAAUGGGGGAAACCCUGAUGCAGCAACGCCGCGUGGAGGAUGACACAUUUCGGUGCGUAAACUCCUUUUAUAUAGGAAGAUAAUGACGGUACUAUAUGAAUAAGCGCCGGCUAACUCCGUGCCAGCAGCCGCGGUAAUACGGAGGGCGCAAGCGUUACUCGGAAUCACUGGGCGUAAAGAGCGUGUAGGCGGAUAAAUAAGUUUGAAGUGAAAUCCUAUGGCUCAACCAUAGAACUGCUUUGAAAACUGUUUAUCUAGAAUAUGGGAGAGGUAGAUGGAAUUUCUGGUGUAGGGGUAAAAUCCGUAGAGAUCAGAAGGGAUACCGAUUGCGAAGGCGAUCUACUGGAACAUUAUUGACGCUGAGACGCGAAAGCGUGGGGAGCAAACAGGAUUAGAUACCCUGGUAGUCCACGCCCUAAACGAUGUACACUAGUUGUUGUGAGGCUAGACCUUGCAGUAAUGCAGUUAACACAUUAAGUGUACCGCCUGGGGAGUACGGUCGCAAGAUUAAAACUCAAAUGAAUUGACGGAAGGGC
rnacentral:rRNA from 1 species